CUCGGGAGCCGGGCCGGUUCCUCGCCAGGUCCUCACUAGGGCUGAGGAGUGGGAGAGAGGCCGGGCGUUCGGGUCGCUUUUUCGGGG
rnacentral:tRNA from 1 species